CUGGCCUAAUUUGUUUAAAUUUCAAAAAAUGUAAAGUACAUCGAUGAAUCAUAGAACAGAGAAGCAUGCAAUAUAUCCAGAUACUGUUUGAAUUUGAGAACCGACUCACGAGGAGGAGCUAACAACAACUCUACUACUAAAUCAGCACAAGUGAGUAGGUCGGAAUUCCAUAUAGUGCUUUUAAUCACGUACAAAUGUCUUGUACUCAUUUAAGAGAAGCUCACAACAUAAUUAAUAAGACAAGGAGAUGAGCCAAUUAAGGAGUAACAUAUGUAAGAAUUGCCCAACAAAAAACUGUUGUGUAAGCUAGCUAGAAAUGCCUUUACAUUAUUCAUGUGAAAGAGGACGCGGGAAUAGAAUGUAUCAUCAAAGGGAGAAAAGCAGCAGCAACUCUCAUGUUGCCGGCCGGCCCACGAGGCAUUUCUUGUAGGUGCUUGUAGCCCCAAACUCCACUGCUUGCUAGGGACAGUAACAGUAGUGCUUGCAGUUAAACUGAACGAGAGGAUGAAACUUGUGUACCAAUGUCGCCUUGUCUCCUCAAAGAGGUGGGAAGCUGAUAGUGCAAUAAUUAGUCCCUUCCUGUCCUGGCACUCAUGAUCUUUCUUGCUUGAGCUUGUACAGGGAAGGAAACAUGAACAUAUGAGUCAACGAAAUUAAGAGAAAGAUCAUAAAGUUUAUAAAAUCUUGGGAAUACAGUAGUACCUCAAGGCUACUAUCAGCAGAUUUUUUGAAAGAUGAGAGUAG
rnacentral:lncRNA from 1 species